rnacentral:rRNA from 1 species
UACGUAGGGUGCAAGCGUUGUCCGGAAUUAUUGGGCGUAAAGAGCUCGUAGGCGGUCUGUCGCGUCUGCUGUGAAAACUCAGGGCUUAACCCUGAGCUUGCAGUGGGUACGGGCAGACUAGAGUGCGGUAGGGGAGACUGGAAUUCCUGGUGUAGCGGUGAAAUGCGCAGAUAUCAGGAGGAACACCGGUGGCGAAGGCGGGUCUCUGGGCCGUAACUGACGCUGAGGAGCGGAGAGCAUGGGGAGCGAAACAGG